ensembl:lncRNA
AAGCUCUUCAUUUCCUACAAAUACUUUUUUUCCACUGUUCCAAAGGUGGAAGAAGCUCUGAAUGGCAAAAAUUCUGUGCUUUUUUAAAACCUGCUGGAUAACUUCUCAUCUCUAAGAGUACUGAAGUUUUGUCAUACCAGACUGUGUAUAACAAAUCACAAAACAUAUGCAUAAAGAAAUCUAGACUCUUCUAAUUGUGCCAAUCCAUGGGUAAAAAACUUACUUCUGGAGCCACACAGCUGUUGAAAUCAGUCAUAUUUACAAUUUUUACAAAUGAGUUUAUUUUAAUAAAAACAAGUUACUCUGUGAACAUGAUCUCUAAACAGAUUUAUGUGGGUUGGCACAAUCUGCUAUGCUAAACAUAUAAUUCAUAUUGCUUAGGUCUGCAACCAGUUUUUUCUUUUUUGAGUGAUGAUAACAGUCUUGCUUUGUACAAGGGUACCAAAUAAUUGGCAGCAAUUCAGCUAAGGACACUGUUCUCAGCAUUGAGCUAUUGAAAUUGUUUUCCUGGACAGAACUGCCCUCUGGGCAUGGCCCUAAAUUGGGAGAACUCUGGGCUGCUGGCACUGGGCAGUGAACCAGGCAGACAGCUUAUAGAGAGAAGAAAGCGACUAUAAAUUGAUGCUAAAGAAGAGGGGGAGGGGGAGGAGGAGUGGGAGAAAAGAGAGAAGGCAGAAAAAGGGAGGAAGAGAGAGAGGGAAAGAGGGAGAGAAAGGUAAAAUUUAUAUUCAUAAAUUCAUACCCUUGAAGGGGUCUCUUGAUGUAUUUCUCCUUGAUCUUUCUGACUGCUCACCGUGCUUGAUGUUUUUAUCCUCAGCGUUUUUUGCUUAGUUACUAAACUGUAAUCUCCUUGAAGACAGAAACGUUGCCUGACUCAGCUUUUCAGCUUCCACAGUGCCUGGCAUACACUGGGUGUGGACUAUGGCUGAUUGAAUGCCUACUUUUACAAGAUUAAGCUUUGCUUGCUUCUGCUUCCACAAGUUCUGGGGUUCUAAGACGAACCAUAUAAGUAAAAGGAAGCGGGUGUACAUUGAUUUCAACCAUCAAGCUUUUGCUUUAAGCAGCUGCAUGUUUUGGG